AUUGAACGCUGGCGGCAGGCCUAACACAUGCAAGUCGAGCGGAUGAAGGGAGCUUGCUCCUGGAUUCAGCGGCGGACGGGUGAGUAAUGCCUAGGAAUCUGCCUGGUAGUGGGGGAUAACGUCCGGAAACGGGCGCUAAUACCGCAUACGUCCUGAGGGAGAAAGUGGGGGAUCUUCGGACCUCACGCUAUCAGAUGAGCCUAGGUCGGAUUAGCUAGUUGGUGGGGUAAAGGCCUACCAAGGCGACGAUCCGUAACUGGUCUGAGAGGAUGAUCAGUCACACUUGAACUAAGACCCGGUCCCGACUCCUACGGGAGGCAGCAGUGGGGAAUAUUGGACAAUGGGCGAAAGCCUGAUCCAGCCAUGCCGCGUGUGUGAAGAAGGUCUUCGGAUUGUAAAGCACUUUAAGUUGGGAGGAAGGGCAGUAAGUUAAUACCUUGCUGUUUUGACGUUACCAACAGAAUAAGCACCGGCUAACUUCGUG
rnacentral:rRNA from 1 species